CAAGUGCCCUCCUCCCUGCCAGGCACAGGCCAGCCACUGCCGCUCCUCCUCCGAAUGUCUCCAAGUUGGGAAAGUCAGCCCAGCAUCUGAGUCAGAGGGAAGAGCUGGAACCACUGCUUGCAGAUGAAAGAACUGGGACACACAGUGUCCACUACUUUAAAAGAACUGGAGACACAGGGGCAUCUCCCUGCCUGGCAGGAGUAUUGCGAGGAUGAGAGCAGGAUUGUAGGCCUGCUUUUCCACAUGAAGAAGAAACAGGGAAAGAACAUAAUUUUCCCAGGGUCCCACAGAAAC
rnacentral:lncRNA from 1 species